UGCAGGGUGGCACAGUUGGUAGCACGGUUGCCUUGCAAAAAGAAGGCCCUGGGUUCAAAUCUCAGUGUGAGGUCUUCUGCAU